rnacentral:rRNA from 1 species
GGUAUAGACCCGAAACCCGGUGAUCUAGCCAUGGGCAGGUUGAAGGUUGGGUAACACUAACUGGAGGACCGAACCGACUAAUGUUGAAAAAUUAGCGGAUGACUUGUGGCUGGGGGUGAAAGGCCAAUCAAACCGGGAGAUAGCUGGUUCUCCCCGAAAGCUAUUUAGGUAGCGCCUCGUGAACUCAUCUUCGGGGGUAGAGCACUGUUUCGGCUAGGGGGUCAUCCCGACUUACCAACCCGAUGCAAACUGCGAAUACCGAAGAAUGUUAUCACGGGAGACACAC